AGUGGUUUAGCACUCAGCUGAUAACUGAGAGAUUGGUGGUUUGAACCCACCAGCAGCUC
rfam:Loxodonta africana unplaced genomic scaffold scaffold_52, whole genome shotgun sequence.